rnacentral:rRNA from 1 species
AUGCUGGCGGCGUGCCUAACACAUGCAAGUCGAGCGGCAGCGAGUUUUACACUGAAUUCUGGAAGCUUCUGGGUAAUAUAGAAGAUUUAUUCAAGAAUUUUGUGUAAGAUGUCGGCGAGCGGCGGACGGCUGAGUAACGCGUAGGAAUUUGCCCCAAAGUGAGGAAUAACUGCCCGAAAGGGUAGCUAAUGCCGCAUAUGGUCUUCGGAUUAAAGCCUUCGGGCGCUUUGGGAGAAGCCUGCGUUGGAUUAGGUAGUUGGUAGGGUAAUGGCCUACCAAGCCGACGAUCCAUAGCUGGUCUGAGAGGAUGAUCAGCCAGACUGGAACUGAGACACGGUCCAGACUCCUACGGGAGGCAGCAGUGAGGAAUCUUCCACAAUGGGCGAAAGCCUGAUGGAGCAACGCCGCGUGAAGGAUGAAGGCCUUCGGGUUGUAAACUUCUUUUAUGAGUGAAGAAUAUGACGGUAACUCAUGAAUAAGCACCGGCUAACUACGUGCCAGCAGCCGCGGUCAUACGUAGGGUGCAAGCAUUAUCCGGAGUGACUGGGCGUAAAGAGUUGCGUAGGCGGUUUAAUAAGUGAAUAGUGAAACCUGGUGGCUCAACCAUACAGACUAUUAUUCAAACUGUUAAACUCGAGAAUGGUAGAGGUAACUGGAAUUUCUAGUGUAGGAGUGAAAUCCGUAGAUAUUAGAAGGAACACCGAUGGCGUAGGCAGGUUACUGGGCCAUUUCUGACGCUAAGGCACGAAAGCGUGGGGAGCGAACCGGAUUAGAUACCCGGGUAGUCCACGCCGUAAACGAUGGAUACUAGCUGUUGGAGGUAUCGACCCCUUCAGUAGCGAAGCUAACGCGUUAAGUAUCCCGCCUGUGGAGUGCGGCCGCAAGGCUAAAACAUAAAGGAAUUGACGGGGACCCGCACAA